rnacentral:rRNA from 1 species
GUGCCUAACACAUGCAAGUCGAACGAGAAAGUGGAGCAAUCCAUGAGUAAAGUGGCGACCGGGUGAGUAACACGUGACUAACCUACCUCCGAGUGGGGAAUAACUCCGGGAAACCGGGGCUAAUACCGCAUAACAUCGCAAGAUCAAAGCAGUAAUGCGCUUGGAGAGGGGGUCGCGGCUGAUUAGCUAGUUGGCGGGGUAACGGCCCACCAAGGCGAAGAUCGGUAUCCGGCCUGAGAGGGCGCACGGACACACUGGAACUGAAACACGGUCCAG